rnacentral:misc_RNA from 1 species
GGGGGAGACCGGAAAGGAGAGAGAGUAAAUGGCAAUUAUCCCUUUGGUUUCUCCUUUUUUAUCUCUGUUUUCUUUUUCUCUUAUGACUAUUUUGACUUGGAAUUGCAGAGGUGCAACCAGUGCCAGCAUUAAUCGAUCUCUUAAGUUGUAUAUCUAGAGACACAAUCCGGCAGUUGUCAUUAUUUUUGAACCUCGAAUCAGUGGUGUGAUGGCUAACCGAGUGAUUAAAAAGACUAGGUUUUCUUUCUCUCAACGUGUGGAGGCAUCAGGAGGAAUCUAGGUUUUGUGGAAAAAGGGCUGGUCAGUGCAAGUGCUGGCUCAUCACAGACAGUAUAUUCAUAUGAAAAUUUAUGAAGCCAAUAGUUGUCUCAUGAAUUUUACUAUGGAAUACAGUUGCCCGAGUGCUUUUAUUAGGGCUCUUUUGUGGCCAUCUUUAAAUAGUGUGGCUUCUAAUGUUGUUGGUCUGUGGGCUCUUAUGGGGGACUAGAACGCUCUCCUUAGGGCUGAAGAUAAGAAAGGAGGCUCUCCUAAUCGUUCGAGUCUCUAUCAUUUAUUUUCAGCAGUAGAUACUAACUUCCAGUUUGAUGGAGAUUCCUUUCAGGGGGUCCUUUUUUCACUUGGACUCGGGGUAGAAUGAUGGAGCGUUUGGAUUGGACUAUUUGUAAUGGGUAUUGGAGGGAUUGGAGACUUGGUUACCCUGAUGGUUAUGUACUGCACUUACCUAAGAUGCAUUGGCCUCUACUUUUAUUGCCUAAUGGUGUUCGACAUUUGCAAUUCCAGGAUCAUCUGUUUCGCUUCCAGGCUACCUGGAUGACGCAAGAUAAAUUCAGGGAUAUGGUCCGUGAUAACUGGAGGCCAAACUCCUCUUUUAUGUCAGUAGUGAGCCAUUUUACAAACAGGCUGAAAAUUUGGAAUAGGUCGGUCUUUAGGACCAUUUUUCAUCGUAAAAACUGUAUUUUGAGUCACCUGAGUGGUGUUCAAAGAAGUCUGCACUAUGGACCGACGUCAUUCCUGGUGGAGAAAGAUUUGAUGCGGGAGCUAGAGGUUUUCUCUCAUCAGGAGAAACUGAUAUGGUACCAGAAGUCUCUGAGUGAAUUUAUUAAAUGGGGAGAUCGCAACACCUGCUAUUUUCACCUUAAGACAAUUAAUCAAGGGCAACAAAAUUGGAUUCCUCAUCUUAAGAAAGCUAAAGGUAUUUGGGUGCAUGAUCAAGCGGAAUUACGAAUUAUGGCUAUGAAGUUUUAGAAACAUCUCUAUUCUAAGGAUGCAGCAGUGGCACCAGCUUAUCCUAUUAAGGGUUGUUUUUCUAAUCUAGGUGAGGAUGCUCUAAUUGGAUUAAGUUCGCCAAUUUCUUCAGUUAAGGUUCACAAGGCUCUUUUUGGCAUGCAACCUUGGAAGGCCCCUGGAUUGGAUGGUUUUCAUACAAGUUUCCAUCAACGGUAUUGGGAUAUUAUCAGUGAUGCUAUAUGUUCAGAAGUGUGUCGGGUUAUUGGUGGGGUUGAUAUUGAUAGUGGUAUGGCUUACUUUGCACAAUUUGAUUCCCAAAGUCCCUCAUUCGGACUCUCUGUCCCAGUUUCAUCCCAUUAGCCUUUGCUUUGUGGCUGAUAAGAUAAUCACUAAGGUCCUGGCUAAUCGGUUGAAAGUCGUCUUGCCUUGUUUGAUGAGCCUGACUCAGACAGGUUUUAUUGCAAGACAACAUAUUACUAACAAUAUAGUUAUUGCUU